AUUAAGUUAUUUGGCCGAUUGGAUAGGCAUUUGUCUUGAAAACAAACAACAAAGGUUCAAAUCCCUUAAUA
rnacentral:tRNA from 1 species